rnacentral:lncRNA from 10 species
AUAAUGGAAACUUUUACUCAUGGAUGCUUUUAUUGAGAUUGCCUGGAUGCCUUCCUUCCUCCGUCCUGUAUCAAUCCUAAUUAUCCUUUCACUCUGGAGUCAAGUCACAGCUCCUCCAUGAAGCCUUCUCCUUCAAAGCUGACAGUACUUCUGUUCCCGUGGGAUGUAGAGGGGUCUGGGCGUUAAAUUAUUUCUCACUGUUGCAUGUAUGAUUAGUCUUGCCUUCCCAACUAGAUCCAAGUUCCACAAGAAUAUGAAAAGCAUUAAACUUUUUUUGGUAGCCUCUACCAUUAUAUCUAGCUGGCUGGAUAUAUAAAAACUCUACUAAAGACUUAACUUAAGUAACUAUACAUAUACAUUUUCUGAGGCAUUUUCCUUACAUUCUGAAGUAGGAACUCUACCACAGCUAUUUGCCCGUGUGCUGCAGCCCACAUCAGAGGAGUAAAUCCUUCUUCAUCCGUGUGAUUGAUAACAUUUUCUAUUUAAAAGAAAAGCAAUUUUUGUGAUCUAAUUUAACAACCAUAUCUUAAUAUCACUAUGAAAAACUGGCAUUCCAAAGAGCUGAUUAUAAUACUCAGUAAAGUUCACUUUGUGCUGACUUUAUGUUGGUGUCCUAUUUAUUGCAUGUUGUUGUAAUUUGUAGUCUGAGUGUAUUAAAAUAUGCCUCAAUGUACAUAGCCGGGUUCAGAUAGCAUAUUACUUAAAGUAUAAACUACCAGACAUGACAUAAUGUCGGGUACAAGGCAGUCAAGAGAACACUGGUCUCAGAAUCAGGAGACCACAGUUUGAAUCCUGGCUCUGUCACUUUCCAGCCAUGUGACCCUGGGCAAGACACUUAAUUUCUUCAAUAUACAGAAUUCCUUGCUUACAUCAACGUACAGUUGGGAGGAUCAUAAUAAAAGUGAGAUUAUAUGAUAGCCCUCAGAAUUACAGAAAUAUAUAAACUUAUUGAAUCUUAUUGAAGCUAUCUUCUACUCCAUAGCUAACAUUGCUGCCUGUGAAUUUCUCUCAUUCUUGUGGUUUGCUAACAUAAUGUUAUGUGGAUGACAGAUAAUAUAAUGUGAAUGAAUAGUCUGAAAUACAGUACCAUGCAAUUCUACCUUGAACCCCAUUUUCUUCCCUAGAUUGUCUACUAGUUAUUAAGUCCACAGCCUUUUCCCUAAAUUUAUUUAGUAGAUUGAAGAAGCCUCCAAAUAUUCAUAAACAAACAGAAAUAUAAGAUUCUUUCUUAUAAAAAUGACAAGAUUAAGCAAAAUAAAACUCUUUGAUCAGACUCCCUGUAUUCAAUAAACAGUUUUGGGACAACUGGCUAACUUUUUAAAGCAUGAAAAUAAAAAUACAGCUCAAUCUUUACUUCAUUACAACAAAACAUAUUCCAUAUGAGUUAAAUAUUGAAAUGUAAAAAGGAAAGCCCAGAAGUUCUAGAAUAAGGAAUGAGUGAAUUUAUUUAUAAUCUUGAAAUGGGAAAUCCUUUCUAAGCAAGAUAUACAAUCCAGAAGUCACAAAGAAGAAAAUAAAUUUAUGACUUACAGAUGUUAUGCUUUCAGAACUUCAUAAAGGAAGUCAAAGGAAAAAUGACAAGCUGGGGAACAAUAUAUGCAACAUAAACAACAACAAGAAAAAAAGCUAAUUUCCUUAAUUUAGAGUUUACAUACUAAUAUAUAGCAGGUAGGUCACACGCAAAAAAUUCCAGUAGACCAUAACUUAAAAAAUGUAAAUGAAACUACUCUGAGAUGCCAUUUUUCACACGUCAGAUUAGCAAAAUUUGGAAUCUGCUAAUAUCCUGUAUCAGUGAGGGCGUGGGGAAACAGAAACUCUAGCUCUUGUGUGAGGACACACAUCUGGUUAUAUAUAUAAAAUAUAUAUUUACAUAUAUAAAAAAAUACAUAUAUAUAUAUAUACACCCUUUGACCCAGCAAAUCUACUUGUGGGAAUCUGCCCUAUAGAUAUACUUUUAAGUUUUAAGUUUAAACUUAAAACUUAAGGGGGGCAGUUAAAAAAAAAAAUAACAUAGAACACGUACAUGCAAUACAAUGCACACUUAUGGAACUAUGAAAAGAAUAAAAUAGGUCUUUAAUACGUGCUUAUAUGGAAAGCUCUCCACAGUAUUCAGUGUAAAACGGUGCAAUGUAGUGUAUAUUUUCCCUUUUGUGUAAAUAACAAGCACAUAUACAUUCUCACACAUAAUCCGAAACAUAAAUAGAAAUGUUUUCAAAAAAAUUUACUGAAAAUGUAAGAAACUUAUAACGUUUGCUUUUGGGGAAAAGGCAACGGUGGUAAAGGAACUUUUACGCUUUAUAUUCCUUUUUUUUUUUUUUUUUUUUUUACUAUCCAUUGGGUUAUCUGCCUGGUGAGUUUAUGUAACUAUUUGUUUUUGUCUUUAGGACUUUCUUAUAUUAAAAUAAAACAAUAAC